AUGCCGGAGUGCUUUCAAGCUGUCCCUACGCAGCCAGAAGCAAAGGCCUCUGCCUUUUCCGGGCGAGUCAACGCUCCUCUGGUUGACCUCGCCCCAGCGGCGCCAAGCCCGGCGUCUCCUACUCCAGCAGCCCCCGUCCCGUCUACGCCCGUCCCUCUGACACCUGCCCCAGUGUCCCCAGUGAAGACCGAAGCAAAACCAGAGUUCGUACCGAAACCGGCUCCACAGCUAAGCUCCGGUGUUGACACGCUCACCAACUUGUCCAACACCCUCAUUACUUUCAACUCAAGUUCCACCAGCUUUGUGGAUGACGCGCCAGUGCUGGCAGAGGAAGAAGCAGGUUCAGCGAACAGUCACACUACAGAGAAUGGUGAUGAAGAGGAGGCAGAUCCAGAGCUCGGCAGCCGGGAACCACUCACAGAUGAUCUCCUGGCUUUCACCGACGGUCCCGAGGAGAGCAGAGCAGAGCCCGCCACCCCCAGCCCGGGACGCUGGAGUCAGGAUCUGCUUAGUGAACUAAACAGUGCGUCAAAGCCGGAAAAGACCAGUGGCCCCCUGGAUUUCCUGGCUAACGAUGUCAUUCCAAUCAACACGGAGGCCCGCAGGCUCAACGUGCAGCGGAAGGAGGAGAAACGGACGGAUGAAACAGCCGGAGACACACAAAGCCUCACGGAGACCGUCACCAUAACCACCAAAACUGUGAUCAUUACUGACAAAAGCUCGGCUGAUCCCUUUGAUCCAUAUCCGAUAGGGACCACAUCCUCUAACAGCUCCUCUGACCUGCUACAGCCUGAGUCUGAUGUUUCCAACAACAGUCAUGUGUUGGAUUCCCAUUCAGACCUAAUCUCUAUCAACACUGACGCCACGAGCAGUCAGCGGACAUGGGCGCGCACAUGGCAAACCAGCCCCCCCCCAGCAGGAGAACAACGAAGAGAGCCAAGAAGCUUUGCCAGCAGCCCAAAUGCUAGAUGA
ensembl:lncRNA